UACGUAGGGUGCGAGCGUUGUCCGGAAUUAUUGGGCGUAAAGAGCUUGUAGGCGGUUUGUCGCGUCUGCCGUGAAAAUCCGGGGCUCAACCCCGGACUUGCGGUGGGUACGGGCAGACUAGAGUGUGGUAGGGGAGACUGGAAUUCCUGGUGUAGCGGUGAAAUGCGCAGAUAUCAGGAGGAACACCGGUGGCGAAGGCGGGUCUCUGGGCAAUAACUGACGCUGAGGAGCGAAAGCGUGGGGAGCGAACAGG
rnacentral:rRNA from 1 species